GACGAACGCUGGCGGCGUGCUUAACACAUGCAAGUCGAACGAUUAAAGCCCCUUCGGGGGUGUAUAGAGUGGCGAACGGGUGAGUAACACGUGAGCAACCUACCUCUUACACUGGGAUAACUCAGGGAAACUUGAGCUAAUACCGGAUACUCCUUAUCUGUUGCAUGACGGAUUUGGGAAAGCGCAUACGGUAAGAGAUGGGCUCGCGGCCCAUUAGCUUGUUGGUGAGGUAACGGCUCACCAAGGCGACGAUGGGUAGCCGGGUUGAGAGACUGACGGGCCACAUUGGGACUGAGACACGGCCCAAACUCCUACGGGAGGCAGCAGUGGGGAAUUUUGCGCAAUGGGCGAAAGCCUGACGCAGUAACGCCGCGUGGGUGAUGAAGGCCUUCGGGUCGUAAAGCCCUGUCAGGUGGGAAGAAUGGCAUCGGUUCGAAGAGGGUUGAUGCGUGACGGUACCACCAGAGGAAGCACCGGCUAACUC
rnacentral:rRNA from 1 species